GAAGGCCCCAUUUUCUUUGGGGGACACCCUCUACCUCUCUGGUGUGGAGGCCCAGACACUGGGCUGGUGCUGAGAGGCUGCAGCAGGAGGAUGGAUAUUAGGGAUGCUGGAUGGAGCCCCAGAUUGGACAGGGGUGCGUGAGGGCUCUAAACGGUGGAUUCUACUGGGAAGCCGGUGGUGACAGGGUGAGAGCCAAGGCUCAAUGACCCAGCCAUGUGUUCUAAGGCAUGGGAGGAUGACUUAAAUCCAGGUAACAGUAAUGGGAUCCAGAAACAACAGAAAAGUUAUGGCCCAUACAUCUUCAAUUGCAAUUACAGGUAAGGAAACAAUAUGCAAAUAUUCUAACGGGCUCAAGGUUAAACUGGCAGUCAGCUGCUGAGCCAGCCGAGCAUGGUGUUCUGACACCCAGGAUGAGGUGAAAAUGAGCUUUUCUGAAAAGGAGAGGGGCCCGCAGGAAUACACACUUCCAAGCCUUUUGUUCUCACAGAAGGAAGUUUGCAAAGCCUUGGUGGAGGACUCUCUGAAGAAGGGCAAACAGUCCCCAAGGGGGAGGAGCUGCUUGCUGCAGGAACGCUGUCGCCAGCAAUUAUUAGUUCACUCCUGCUGGAUCUGUCCUAGAGGCCUCCCGUGCACAAGAAUGUGAAGACUGUUGGCAGCUGCUAGCUGGAGAAGCCCUGAUCCACCUCAAGGGACGAAGGUGGGACUCUCACAAGGUUGCUCCCUGACUCCCACCCUCACCCCUGCUCUUGGAAGAAAGAAUGCCUGCUUUCUUUUCAGCCUGGGUUCCAGCUGGGAUGCCUAGGGUGCAGUGUUCCAGAGAUGGUGGCUGGUCUUGGAGAAGGGAUAGAAGUUAGGCUAGAAGACUGGAACUUAUGCAAAUCAAGCUCAAGGGUGACUCAAGGAGAGCUUAACCCCUGCCUGUGUCCCCCUUCUCCUCAAUAGAGCCUGAUAGGACACCUUGCAAAGAAAGAAAAAGACUCCCAGGAAAACAUCCUUUAUGUUAAGUUGCCCAGGAGGGUUUGUGUGUUUGUAUGGGGAGGGCGAAGGAGACUUUCCCUCUGAAGCAAUUUCUUGCGAAAAUGGUCCACGAGUUGAAAUGCCUUUGGGGCAGAGAGGAUUAUCGGGAAGAAAAGCUGGUUCAGGAAACAGAACUGGGUUAAUGGCUGCAUUAGGUUUAGGCACAAGCCAAGCGAUUCUUCUGAGGUCUAGAGGUCUCUAGAACUUUUAUUUGGAAGAGUCAGGCUAUUUUGGGCUUCUGCACUGAAUGAUCCCAGGGGCUAUCGUUCUUCUUCACAUAGAUUAUUCAAUUAGGGGUAACCUAGGACACUAUAGAGACACGCACCAUUCCACAUGCCCACUUUCUUGUAUGAUAAAUCAUGAAUUCUCAGGUGCUAAAGUCACCGGAUUUCCCUGGUUUAAAACUUUCUCUUUUUGCCCCCUCCCAACCCACCAAACCUGCUUUGCUUUCCUUAGCAUAACUGACUACCAUAGAGAUAACUGGGAUUAUUCUCUUAGAGAGGCUUCCCAAACCCUUAAGGAAAACAGAGUAACACAGUGAGAGGGCCUGAUGAGACCUGGGGUGCCAUGGAAGCCAUGAUUACAAACCCGGGAGUUUGAUUUAUUUCUUAAAUUCAGACAUGAAGGCUAUUCGGUGUGGCAUGGAUUUUCUAUUUCUCCCCAAGUCCAGGAUUCCAUGCUAUUUCACAGUUACCUGCUUACGUCAGUCAAUUUACUUGUCUGCUUCAAGGUAGGUGGGUACAUCUUGGACUGAUGGAACACCAGGUAAUGGCCUCACUUUAAAAACGGAG
rnacentral:lncRNA from 1 species